UAGCCUGAGAAAUCUGGAAAGGAAGAUUGCAUGUGGGGUGUGUGGGGUGGCCGUGCCCGUCCUGUGCUCUGCAGGGACACCGCAGCAUUUGUCCCAUCUCUCAUUAAUUGGCACGCAUUAGUCCAGCUCGUUAACGAUGCUGUGGCUGUGCUCCCUGUCUGCUCCUGCUCUGAGAACAAGGAGUUGACCUUGCCUUCUGAAAUUCUCGUCCGCUCUGGAAAACAAGCAGACAAGACAUCUUUACUGAGCUAGAAAUUCCUCUUGAAUGUUCCCUCUUUAAUUUAUGUUCCCUCUCACUUCGUUGCCUGCAGCAAAACCCAUUAAUGGUGGCAGUUUGUGACACAACUGAAGGCUCCUCUAAUGGGCAGCUCUCCCGCAAUUCCACUGCUCUCUUGCUUCAGAGGAAUUUGCAGGCGUUGUGGUGCACAGCUUCUCCCCCUCCAUUUCCCAGGCUCCAGAGACCAAUCCUUCCUUCCGUCGGUUUUGCUGCUACUAUGGCAAUAUUUUCUCCCCCAUAGUGGUAAUCAUACAAUGGUCUCUGAGAACAGCAGGAGAAGUGGUGCCUGUUAGAUGCAUAAAAGCUGAGGAACUCUGCCAGAAGGACUCUUUGCCAGAGAUUAAAACAGUUUAGGAAGCAGACACAUGAUUCCUUUCUUUGGAUGAAGGCGAAUGGGCUGUGCCAUGCAGCUCUUCCCACACACAGGGACCCCAUGGCUUCUGCCCUCACACCCACUGCAGCCUCAGCACAGAGCUCACUUGUGGUCCUCAAGGGCACCCCCAGCCAGCACAUGCUGUGGACUUGUUGGCGUGACCCUGUGAGAAUGCAGUGUGAUCCCAUGUGGUGCUGGAGUUCCAUGGGUGAGUUGCUGUGGGUGAAUGGUGCUGGAAGGUCUCCGUCCCAGAGCAAAGCCACUGGGGUCUGCACGGCCCUUCCUGCCCUGUUAGCUGCCUGCCUGCUUCGUGCAGAAGGCAGCUGUGUCCUGGUGGCCAUGAGAUGUGUGAUGGAAACACUCGCUGACAUCAGUGUGGCGAAUGGUUUAUCUGUGAGCUUCUUAAUGGGAAGUGUGCUCCUAUUUUAUAUUCAUUUUUACUGAGAUGCAAUGAUAAUUCUCACCUCCCAGAGACACAAACCUAGUUCGGAAAACAUUUAUAAUGAGUCGUUAGCGAGCCGGAUGCUUAAGUUCUGAGAACAUCCCGAUUUUGCGUACGCUGUGCUUCUGAAGGUGUGGAUUCCCUCUGCAAAUCAUUAUGAAGAAUUGGCACUUGCUGGCAGGUAGGUGGGAGUUUUAGUGGCCUGGAGAUUUAAGCAGAAAUCAGAUAUGGACACCAGGGAGUACAGAGUGUGCUCAGUGCUCUCCUGCAACGUGAAGGCUGGAGUCUGGAUUCAUUUUUAAUGAAACACGUUUUGCAACAAUCCUACAGCAGCCCCAAAUGGCGGCAGAUCAGAGGACUGCCAUGUGUGAGCUCUCUGCCCACCGCUGCCUCCCGCACCCCUCUGUGUGCUCAGUGGUGUUGGGGGCUGCAGACUCACCUCCCCUCUGUGUCCUGCAGUGCCCUGCUGGGCUCUGCACUUGGUGCGCAAUACAGGCAACAUGCUGACAACUGCUCCUAGGCAUGAGGAACCCUGGUGGUAAAGAAAGGUCGUCCAGGGACCUCACCAGUGUCUUUUUCAAAUGGAAAUGUCAUUUAUUAUUAUUUAGUGCUGAUAGAGUCCUCAGAAUAAAGGCAGCUCAUAGCUGGGGGAGCUCCCGCUCUGAUGGUCUCUGCUCUCUGCUCUCAGCCCAUCUCCUGUGUGCAGCUUGGAGCUCCCCAGAGCCACCCUUUGGCAGCACCGCCUUCCUGAAAGCAGAGCCCUCCAGCGAGGGGCUGAAUGGUCACCAUGUCACCUCCCUAUGCCAGGGACUGUCAGAGUACUUUGCCAGAUGGGUGCCUGCACACCAGGACUAAGGGGAAGGAGGCUCAUCAGCACCCCAACAUCAUUGGUGCCCUGCCAAGCCUGCAGGAAGGAAGGACCCGAGAGGGACUGAGAGGGACCCCCAGCAUUGGCUGCAGGGACAGGGGCUAAGCUGUUGUUCCAUGGUGUAUCCGGCAUCCUUGCACCCCAGGACACAAAGCUGGGGGACAGAAGCUCUGUGGGGCACAACCGUGCAGCAUCCUCUGUCCCCACAUGGAGGGCAGAGCCCAGGUCCCUGUGGCACAGCAGCUGUGAAGGACACGUUCUCCUGCAGUGCCCAGGCUGCAGCAGUCCCUGGGGCACAGCUGUGGUUGUGGAUCCUGAGGUCAGGCAGGGCUGCAUGCACAGUAGCCUAUGAGAGCUGCUUGCAGGUCUGUGAGGCUGAGGGAGCACCUGCCAUGGGCUCCUUGAAAGCCAGGGGAUGCCAGAAGCUGCUUGUGCAGAGGCAUUCUGGUUCUGGUGGCCCACAGAGCUGUGCCAGUGGUAAAACGGCUGCAGCCACAGCAGUGGCACCAGGCUGGUGCAAGGCCCAGCUCCAUCCUGCAUUCCUGAAGUGCCUGCCAUGUAUGUAGGGAUGGGAAUGCUAUGACCACAGCUCUGCAGCAUCCACCUCUGGGUUGGAGGACAGAGUGGGCUGCCACGUGCAGCAGUGCUCUGCCCUCCCACCUCCUGCACUGCCGGGUGGGAGCUGUGAGCGCUCACAGGAGUACACUGCCACCUCCAUGAAAGCAAAUGAAAGGAUUUUGGUCCAAAUUGCGUUUCCCCUCAUUGUCUGGAGGCUGUCAGUACAUUACGGCCUACAAUAUUCUGCUGCUGCUCUUUUGCAUGAUUUUUUAAUUAAAAAACUAUGGAGUGAACAAGCGUUCUGCUCUGGAGUAGCCCUGCGGAGACCCAUCGAUAGGCACAUUUACAUCCCCACACUUCUUCAAGAAAGUUUAUAUCUUAACAACAACAACAACAACAAAAUAGUAAUAAUAAUCUCACCCACCCAAACAGUCAGUAUUGGGUAAAAGUUUGAAGUGAAAGGCAGCUGGCAACCUUCUCCAGCCCGUGAAAUGAUAUUAACAUUUUAUUAUUCUAAGGUGAGCUUUUUGAAACGGAAUUUUAAAUGUUACCCUGCUGUUCCAGAACACAAAAACCUUUAAUUUUAUGCAAAUGAACAGCGAGGAGCUGAGCGCUUAAUGUAAACCAACACUUUCUUUGUAGGAGAGGUUGGAAGAGAAAAAAAAAAAAUUCCCAGGGAUUCUUUAAUUGCUGUCUGAAAUUAUGUAAAUCCCACCGCUAGGCAGAACGCAAUUAUCCCGUGCCCCUCUCUGCCAGCAUUGCUAAUGUCUAACAAAAUAUCGGUGGGUGACAUUUAGUCGAGGUAAUGCAAAUGAGAAUUAAUUUUUUUUCCAAGACAAAGGGCAGCGCAAAGAUCACCUCAUCCAUAUACAGCAGAGGGGCGUGGGGAGGCAGAGCCGGGGGUGCGGAGCCGGGCAGAGCUGGAUGUGGGGCGGGACGCUGAGCCCGGCGCAGCCCCGCGCCUUUUGAGCGCUUUCUUUUCCGCAGGAGCGAGGCCCGGGGCGGGGGCAGGUUGUUUGUAUUUCAUUUUAAUUCAUGGUCAUCCUGACAAGAGGGUAGGGUGGGAAAUGUGAUUGAAACCCCCUAAUGGUUCUGCCUUGUGUUGUGUAAAGACUGCUUGUAAUUUAUCACCUAGUUGUGCAGAUAACUAGCAAUAAUUCUAUUAAAUAUUCAGAGUGAGGCUUUUGCAACACAAUUAUCAAACGGGAUUUGUUAGAGCAGAAAUCCUUCCAAGCACAAAAAGGUGCUGUGCUGCAGCGCUGGGUCCUGCAGUGCUGGGGGGCAGCUGCCACGUGCCACCAACCAGCAGAGCUGCACAGAGAUUUUCAGUCUCUUCUCUGCUUUCCUUUUCAAUUUUUAUUUUUGGUGCUUGAGUUUCAGCCAUCCUUUCCUAGGUCUGCAUCUGAGAGCUUACAACUCUGCUUACCUUUGGAAGAGAAAAGGAAACCCCAGUGGGAGAUGGUGCGAGGCAGGGGCAGGUAUAUGCGAGGAAUGAUGAAGUACAUAGAUGCUCAGAAGACUCCAGAUCAGGGUAAGCAGUGCUGCUGGAAUUAUCCUUUGAAAUGUACACUCUCUGCAGGGAGGCCCCAGGGAUCAUCCUUGCUGGAGGAGAUGGGCUGAGUUGCACCAUCUGCUUGGGAUUUAGGACAGGCAGAUCUUCGAAAAUAUGAAUUAAAAAUACAGAGGAGCAGGAAAUCAUUUCCUCCUGCCCUGUCUUUUGAAAUGAUGCGAGGCAAACCUGGGUGGCUGCUGCCACCUGCGUGCCGUGGUGUCCUCGUGGUAAGGCCAGCUCUGCUACAUCGCACUGAGCUCACACCUCUGCUGCAAGGGAGCUCAGCUCCAUGCCCAACACCAGCUCACAGCUUGCGGUUGGUGCUGGUGUGCAGUGACCAGCUGUGCAGUGACAUCGGUGUCCAGAACUUCCCACAGCUGCACUCCUGCUCCCUGCCCUGCUGCAGCAGUGCUGGUGAUGGUGAGGUGCAACAGCAGGGAGAGGCUGCCCCCCACACAGGGCACCUCUGUGCAGACAGGGCUGUCCUUGUCUUCCUAAAAUUUAUAAUCUUUAUAAUCUAAGGUUUGGACUCCUCAAAGCUUUAUGCCUGUCUUUAACCUGUAGCACAUGCAUAGUCUCAGUGGGAUUUCUCAUCUGCUAAGAGUUAAGCAUGUGCAUAAAUCUUUGCAGGCCUGGGGCCUAAGGCAUUCUUGUUCACACAUGCACACACAUUCCUGUGUGCAUGAGUCAUGGAACGGCCGCCCUGCAAAUCCACACCACGGUUGGAGCAGGAGGCAACUAUACUCACACCAACCACCAGAUCAUUUCUCAGCAGUUUGGGUGCCCUGGGGGUGCUGAACUCCUGACACCAUCUUCAGCAAAUCUCCCUUCUCUGCCUGUGUCUCCUGAAGGCAGGCGGGAUGUCAGCAGACAGUGACUGUGCCGGAGGUGAACACAAGCAGGGAGAAAUCACGUACAGCUGCUGACGGCAUUUGGGGCAGAUUGGAAACCAGGAAUAGCUGAGGAAGAAUGCUGGCAUGCCAGAAAUGUGGGAAGGAAAGGGAAGCAUGUGCCCUGGGCUGCACACUCACAGCUGGGGCAGACUGGCUCUGCCUAAUGAGAGCUUUGGCAUCAAUCACUGUUGUGAAGACAUUUUAGUGGGCUCCAUUGCAUCACCUCUGCUUUUACCAAUGCAGGAUGGCCCAGAGUGAAGUCCAGCUUUGCUUAGUGAGGACAGUGCAGCGAUCAGAUGCUCACCCUGCAGUGUGCAUGGGGACACGUGGCACUGCCUGCAGCCAUCGCCACUGCCCUCCUGCACUCCACCGUGUGCCACUGGGAUGUGGUGUGGGGGCUUCGGGUUGGAGGACCCAGCAGGGUGAUGAAGCUGGGAAAGCAUGAACCCCACUUUGGCCUUUUGGCUCUGUUUAUCUGUUCCUUGAGUCUGAUCCUCGCAUGAUCCAUAAGAGAACAGUUAACGUGCGGCUGACAGAUCUUUGAUACGGUGCUCAUUCGCAGGAAGCAGUUUGACCCCCGAAGGUUCCGCAUGCGGCAGGAUUGACACUUCACAUUGACUUUGCUUCAGGCUUAUCAGGAAAUCUCAGCCAAUUUUAUUAAAGAGCCGCGUGUGGUGUGCGGAGCGUGCCAGUCAGAGACAACUUCAUUUGUGGACCAAGUGCUUGACUGGUUUUCUUCUCAUUCAUGUUUUCACUUUGCUGGCAAAUUUAACUUUAGAAAAACCCAUUGCGUGUUCCAGUGAAGGAUGGAGAAUAGUAAAACCCCUCAGCAUUUCCUGGCCCUGUUACUAAGAACAGGGAGAGAGCAAGUAGAUUCCUGUUUAAGGGCAAUGAGGUCUGUCAAUGAGUAAGUGGUGGCUAGGGAGAAAUGCAGAGCGCGGCGGCUGCGGUCUGUCCGGGCCGUGCAGGGCUGUAAAUCACCCAGGGCAGCUCAGGCUGAUCUCUGCCAUGCAGAUCCCUCGGCAGGCAUCGUCCUGGGCUGCUGCCAGUGGGUGUUGCCAAAGCCCUUUCUGCACGGCAAUGCAACAGUGGACAGUGGAGUGGUGGGCAUAUGGUUAGGGUGGGGGCCUGGCCCUGCACCCUGAUAGGCCCAGCACCCCCAUGUGCUGCAUGGCAGACCCAUUCUGCACAGAUCCCAUGGGCAGCACUGACUGUUAUAAGCUGGUUCACCUGUUUUUUGCCUUAUUUUUUUAGCUCAAUUCAACAUGUACAUGGUAUUUUCAGCUCUCAAGGAGGGCUGGAGCAGGGUCCCCAGCAUCAAAGUGGGGUAGCAAGCUGCCAGCAGGAUCCACUGCUCUGAGGCAUCCUUUGGUAAUUAUGUCUCUUUUUACUCAUGCAAAUUUUAUCAAUAUUAUUUAUAUAUUCAAAUCCAUUUAUAAAUAAUAUAUACAUUUGUGCAAAGGUAAUUGCCUCAACUAGAUUAUUUGUCCCAGAUUUUAUUGUCUACCCAGACGCUGAAUACAAACCCCUUUUUCUGGCUCACCCUGUGGCCAGGAGUUCAUUGCUGCCUCAUGGGAGUGGCUCUGCACCCAUCCAUGGGGGAAAUGGGAGGAGCAGAGGGUGGCUCUGGUGGGACCACAGGGCAGGGAGAGGUGCAGGAGGGGGAAGUUGUGCACAUUGUCCCAUCCUGCUGUUCUGCUUGGGGCCCUGGGCUCCAGUAGGGGCACAGUGCAGCUCCAUCCCAGUGCUGCACGCAUCCUCCCUCCUUCUCACUUACCAAAACCCGACAUCACAAUGAAAAAAGAUUAGGAGCACUGACAGGCCUGCAAAGGUGACAGCUACAAAGAAAUAUGGAGCAAUCACGUUGUCAGAGUGCCUAUUAGGAACCUAAAAAACCUCGGCUCUCCUGCACAGGCAAAACUGAUUUAUUGCACAGCACAGUUCAUGAACUCAUCAGUGGUUUUGCAUGGAGAAGAGAUGGAUUUUCUUUCAGAUGUUUAUGGUGUGAGCAGACUGUCCUGAAAGUUAUUGUUUGGUUUAAUAAGAUCGGUACUGCUUGCUGGGGCAGAAUCAGCCCUGCACCUCCACCCAAACCAUGAGCCAGGUCCUGCCCCACAGCCUGAGCAGCUCCAUGCAUUCCUAUGGAAAUAUUCCUCAAGCAUUACCAGCACUGCCCACACUGUGUGUCAAUGCCUGCGUGGAGCAGGGCUGGGACACCUGCACAGAGCAUGGAACAUGCACACGGAGCGGGGCUGCUCCUCUGCCCACCUGUGCUGGGGGCUGGGGGUCUUCCCCCAGGAAAGCCGAACUGUGUGACUAAACGACGGCUCACACAAAUAAAGUGGAGCUUCCCCAUGUGUUGGCACAGCACUUGGGCCUCCCUGUGCCACAGGUGCAGUAGGAGCUGCAGCUCUGGGGGCUGCAGGAUGCUCACAGCGCAGUGCCCACAGCAGCUGCCAGUGCUGCUCCUGAAACAUUUCUUUGCAGGAGGGAGUUUUAAAUGUGUGUCAUGCAGAAGCAGCGUUGGCUUUCUGACAAUGUUGUACUGCUGUUAACAUGUAAAUGUUUCCUUCUCCUGCUUUGGAUUAUGCCUCAGAUGCUUUGGGAACAGCUGUGGUUUAUGUAGAUUUUAAAGGUGAACUUUCAUGCUCACUGAAACUUUAAAAGUGGCUGAUUUACACUUGAACCCAUUUCUGUGAGUGUUGGUGUGGCUGUUUCCCUUCCUUAAUGGUGUGUGCGUGCAGGGCUGUGCUGGAGCAGGUUUGUGCCAGGAGCCCACAAUGGGAGUGGGGGCAUGUCCUAUGUGUGGCCAAAGGUGCAGACAUGGAGUGAGUCCUGCACAGCCCUGCACAGCCCCAUUCAGCCCCAUUCAGCCCCGCACAGUCCUGCAUGGCCACUCUCCCAGCUGGGCCCCAGCUCCUUGGUGAGGCCAGCUCCAUCUCUGUGACCCUUUAAAGAUGCUCUCUCUUUUUCCUUUAAAAACACAAAAUUUA